UACGUAGGGUGCUAGCGUUGUCCGGAUUCACUGGGCGUAAAGGGUGCGUAGGCGGUCGGGUAAGUCUGAUGUGAAAUCUCACAGCUUAACUGUGAAACUGCAUUGGAUACUAUCCGGCUAGAGGAAUGGAGGGGAGACUGGAAUACUUGGUGUAGCAGUGAAAUGCGUAGAUAUCAAGUGGAACACCAGUGGCGAAGGCGAGUCUCUGGACAUUUCCUGACGCUGAGGCACGAAAGCCAGGGGAGCAAACGGG
rnacentral:rRNA from 1 species